rnacentral:rRNA from 1 species
AUUGAACGCUGGCGGCAUGCCUUACACAUGCAAGUCGAACGGUAACGGGCCUUCGGGUGCCGACGAGUGGCGAACGGGUGAGUAAUGUAUCGGAACGUACCUUUCAGUGGGGGAUAACGUAGCGAAAGUUACGCUAAUACCGCAUAUUCUGUGAGCAAGAAAGCAGGGGAUCGCAAGACCUUGCGCUGAUUGAGCGGCCGAUAUCAGAUGAGCUAGUGGGUGAGGUAAAGGCGCACCAAGGCGACGAUCUGUAGCGGGUCUGAGAGGAUGAUCCGCCACACUGGAAAUGAGACACGGUCCAGACUCCUACGGGAGGCAGCAGUGGGGAAUUUUGGACAAUGGGGGCAACCCUGAUCCAGCCAUGCCGCGUGAGUGAAGAAGGCCUUCGGGUUGUAAAGCUCUUUCGGCCGGGAAGAAAUCGUAUCAGCUAAUACCUGGUGCGGAUGACGGUACCGGCAUAAGAAGCACCGGCUAACUACGUGCCAGCCGCCGCCGUAAUAC